rnacentral:rRNA from 1 species
AAUCAACGCUGGCGGCGUGCCUAACACAUGCAAGUCGAACGCGAGAGGGGCUUCGGCCCCGAUUGAGUGGCGAACGGGUGAGUAACGCGUGGGUGACCUACCUUCGAGUGGGGGAUAACGUCCCGAAAGGGACGCUAAUACCGCAUAACAUCCUGCUUUUGAAUGGGUGGAGAUCAAAGCCGGGGAUCGCAAGACCUGGCGCUUGAUGAGGGGCCCGCGUCUGAUUAGCUAGNGGUGAGGUAACGGCCCACCAAGGCAACGAUCAGUAUCCGGCCUGAGAGGGCGGACGGACACACUGGGACUGAGACACGGCCCAGACUCCUACGGGAGGCGGCAGUGGGGAAUUGUUCGCAAUGGGCGCAAGCCUGACGACGCAACGCCGCGUGGAGGAUGAAGGUACUUCGGAUUGUAAAACUCCUAGUUGUCCCGGGACGAAUGGCUCCGACCUAACACGUCGAGUGUGACGGUACC